AAGUCGUAACAAGGUUUCCGUAGGUGAACCUGCGGAAGGAUCAUUACCGUUGGAGCUUGCUCCAUCUGGGAUAGACACCCUUGAUUUUGAGUACCUUUUCGUUUCCUCGGCGGGCUCGCCCGCCGGUGGACAACUAUAAACUCUUUGUAAUAGCAGUAUCUUCUGAAAAAAACAAAUAGUCAAAACUUUCAACAACGGAUCUCUUGGUUCUG
rnacentral:misc_RNA from 1 species